GAAGUGGGAUUGGAGAGUAUUCUCAGCCAUCUUCAUCCUGAUUGAUUUGUUCCCUGUGCAUUUUCAGUUUUAAUUUUGCAGGGGAUGUCAUAAACGUAAGAAACUUCCGGGAAUUUUGUGAAACUCUCCAGAUGGUCACCUUGAAUUAGCCGGCAGCUGGGCUGUGUGGUGACCUCUUCUCACUGUAUCUCCUGUUAAUUUGUGAUCAUCAAGAUGGGUGAGGAGAGGCUGCCAGUGUGGAAGUCCUAUU